GAUGAACGCUGGCGGCGUGCAUAACACAUUCAAGUCGAACGGAGCUACUUUGAUUAAUCCUUCGGGAAGCGUCGAGGUAACUUAGUGGCGGACGGGUGAGUAACGCGUGAGCAACCUGCCCUUGUGUGGGGGAUAACGUUUGGAAACGAACGCUAAUACCGCAUAAUGUAUCGAGAUUGCAUGUUCUUGAUACCAAAGAUUUAUUGCGCAAGGAUGGGCUCGCGUUGGAUUAGAUAGUUGGUGAGGUAACGGCUCACCAAGUCAACGAUCCAUAGCCGGACUGAGAGGUUGAACGGCCACAUUGGAACUGAGAAACGGUCCAGACUCCUACGGGAGGCAGCAGUGGGGAAUAUUGGGCAAUGGGCGAAAGCCUGACCCAGCGACGCCGCGUGAGGGAAGAAGGUCUUCGGAUUGUAAACCUCUGUCCUAAGAGAAGAGGGGAAGACGGUAUCUUAGGAGGAAGCCCCGGCUAACUACGUG
rnacentral:rRNA from 1 species